UCCCAGCCCUAAACGAUGCGGGCUAGGUGUCGGCCCGUCAUUGGGUCGGUGCCGCAGCUAACGCGUUAAGCCCGCCGCCUGGGGAGUACGGUCGCAAGGCUGAAACUCAAGGGAAUUGACGGGGGCCCGCACAAGCGGCGGAGCAUGUGGUUUAAUUCGAUGCUAAGCGAAGAACCUUACCCGGGCUUGACAUGCGGGUGGUACCGACCCGAAAGGGAAGGGACCCAGGGGCC
rnacentral:rRNA from 1 species